AUAGCAGCUUGGCAUUUGUAUUGUACAACAUAGUGGGCUCUAUAUAGAUGUCCGGUAAUUCUUAAUAGACAAUUGCAUGUUCUACUGAUGCAAACCUUUUCUUUUCAUGCCUCUAUGAAAUUAUGUCGGUUGUUUUAUUGUGAUUUGAUGCCUUUGAUGACUCGGCAAAUAGGAUUUUUGGAGAGUAUCUGUUUGUCAUGUCAGCCUUGUUGCACUAAUCUUUUGAUUAAACAAAACAUUGGGUGGUUGGUAGUUGCUACUUUUUCAAUCAAUAUCUGUAGUCACUGUAUUGUGCUUGUCUGCUGGAUUAGAUACCUCAAUUGCAUAUCCUGUGGAUUUUGAUUUUUAUCUAGCGAUAUAUUUUGAAUAAUUGUAAAAUUAAAAUUCUGGUGGACUGUGCAAACACCCGUUUACUUCCACUAAAUUCUCAUGAACCAAGAUUUCAAGAAAUUCUAGGGUAUGCUGAAUCUCGUUUCUGAGUUUGGAACUGAUAUUUGAUUUUACUUUUAUGGUGUACAACCCCUUCUGAGAAGUAGUUAGAAGUAAUUCUUCCCAACAAAACAUGCAAGUGAAUUAACUUAGUAGUACACUAGUGGUCUAAAAGUAUUUGGUCUUAGACUGUUUUAGGACUAAGCAAGCAUGGAACCUAAUACUAAUGAACAUGGAAACGUGUAGGUGUGUGUAUCUAGCUUUUACCUUGUUUGAGGGUAUUUGUGAAGGUGAACAAAGUGAUUGGUGAUCACUGGCAACAACUGACUGCAUUAACAGGACGGACAACAAUAAUUCCCAUUUGAUGUAAAAAAACAUGUUUUGUUUCGUGCAUAGUCCAUUCCUAUAUUGCAACCAGAGCAAACUUGUUGAUGAAGAAUGAUGCUUUCCUGGCAGGAUGCAAACAUGGCAAAGAACUGAGAUUUUAUGCGGAAGAACAUAGGUAGGUGAAGAGCUUCCACAAGUGACAAGUUGGCGCCCAACAGUAUCAGAAAAAUUCUGUUCAACUUGCACCAAUUAAGAAAAGAAGACGUAACAAAUAGACUUGAUAUUUCCAGCUUGUUCAACAGAUGGCAGCUCAUAUAAUUACUUCGGUAUUUCUUGAUAUCUACUUCAAUUUUCUUCUGAUAAUUAUUGAUGCAAUAUGAUGUUGUUCUUGUAUGUUAUAAGCUAUUUGAACAUGAAAUUUUCCACCCUUAUAAAUUUUAUGUUUCGUUUGUUGUAUUUAACUGUUUAUAAUAUGCAAGUUAAUUAUAUAUUUUGACUAGUAUGAAUUAUAUAUAACAUUCUCCACUUUCUGUCUUCUUUUCUACCUUUCCUUUGAUGUGCACUAAAGCUCCCACCAACUUUGUUCUCAUAUAUUUGUGGACCUAUAAAGAAGCACCAAAGAGAAAUAUUAUUUAACUCCAUAUUAGCCACUCACUUGUGCUUUUCCUUUAGCUGUAGCUGAGAAAUAUUAUCAAGCUAUAGUGAUGCAUUUCUUUUUUUGUUUAAGUUUAUUCUGAAGCAAGGCAUCAGAAUCUUGUUGAACAAAGAUAUGAAAGGAACACAGAAACACCCAAAAGUAUAGGUUGUGACACUAGGUAUGUGGUCUUAAUACACUUAUAGGGGGAAUAUCAAUUCAGAAUAAAGUUGCCAAAGUGCUUCUUAUACAGCUUGCAGAAAGGUGAUCUUUUAAAGAGAAAAUAGGGCAGUUUUGUCAUAAACCAAAAAAGUUUGUAGGAAUGGGAAUGGUCAUAUUGGUAAUGAGUCUUGACCCAUUUGUCUAGUGGGAGGGACCAAAAAUAAUAUGUGCAAGUGAUAUAGGUGGGCGCUAGGCUUUUCGUGAUAGGUGCUGCAGCAACAGGGAUGAUUGUACCACCAAACGAAGUUUCACAAUGAGAGGAGAGAACACGAAAAAAUUUAGGUAGAAGUAUGAUACAACACAAAAUUAAAAUCUCACUCAACAUAUAUAGAUUCCACAAACUAUUUUCAAAGCAAAACAUGAACAACCUAAGAAAUUAGUUGAACUAUGUGAAUGAAUAUUGAAGAGUAGUUGAAUGGUGGACAGAAUUAUAUCAGACCCAAGCAUGUGUUUGAUCAUAUCGGACAUGUUCUUGUACCUGUCUCAUCAGUGGUUAGAUAUAUGCCAAUUUAUUUAGUCCUUUCCCUUUUUUUCCAGUCUAGGGGAAAAAAAAGGAUUUAUUUUGAAUUAUUGAUGUUUUACUUCUUGCCCCAUGAAUAAACUGUUUUUUAUUUAACUUUAUUUUAUUUUUUAGUUCAGAUUUUGUUGUCGAUUGAUGAUUAGAUCUUUAGUCCUGCACUUCACCUGAUUAAGGAGAAGAUUCUUGCUUUAGAAGAACUUUUAGGAAAUUUGAGAUUGUAAUGAUACCUCCCCAAAGGAAGGGAGAAUCUUAAAACCCGUUUAGAGCCAUUCAAAUGGAUCACAAUGAGAUCUUUCUAUGAAAAGAUAGAUACCCUUUCUUUAUGAACAAGAGGAAGGCAAUGAAUUAACUAGGACAUGGAUUCUUGCCUUUCAUUUCAGCGGUUAGCUGAUUCGAAUUGGAUUUUUCAGCCCAGUCUGUGAAUUUUAGCAAGAGAAGAAAGUGAUUUAGAGUGAUUAUCAUUCUUAACUCUUAAGUAGAGAACACAGAGAAGAAGUCAGAACGAACGUGAUGUUUAUACUGGUUGACUCGGACUCAUCUUUUACCUAUGUUUGGCUGUCAAAAGCAGUUGGAUAUUUCGCCAAGUUGGAAUUGCAGGAAAAACAGUCAGAUUAUAGCAUUUCACCCACCUCAAAGAGUGCAUUCUGACUCAACAAAUUUGGACUGAGCUUCGGAUGACAUGGCCUCUUUAGCUAAGAAAAGUCCAAACCAAAUUAAUUUUUACGUGUACAACCUUACUAGGUCCCUUAAGUUUUGCCCCCAUUUGUCUUCAUCUAAUAGUUAAACUAAAAUUUAUCAUUCUCUUCCUUCACAAACAAUUCCAAGUCACUCAAUUUAAAUUAAACUUUCGAUUUUGAUAAUAAUUAACACCAGUCAAUUGAUUUUCAUCCUAAGAUGCAGAUAACAUACUAGGACCUUGGAAUACACCAAGUAAUUGAAGACCAUAGCAAAGUUCCUAGAAGAAAUUUCGUUGGAGUUACUCGUGACAUUUCACGGUGAACAAAAAGAUUUAUAAAGCUUGGUGAAAGCUUUGGUUUCCAAGUUUUGUAUUCGUCUCAAGGAAUUUAUCUUGCUGAUAUUUUACCGACAUGUAAACUUGGAAUUGUCUGGAUUACCUGAUGCAGUAACUAUUAUACUGGGAAGCCUGCAUCUAGCUGCAAGUCAUUUUUUCUCAGGGCCACUUUAAGAUCAAAUAGGUAUAUAAGCUACACACAUGAAUUAUAUAUACUCUUGACAAAAAUGAAAGAAUCUUCAAAAUACAACAAGAGAAACAUCUCAAAAAUCAUAGAUAAGCUUUCCUUAGGUUUUAAGGUUAAGAACAUCAACUCUCAUGCCAAUAUUAAUUCUAAUAUUCAAUAACUCAAAUCUUAACCAACAUUUUCGCUUAAGUCCUUGGUAGAGCACGGAAACAUCAAAUUCACAUAUAAAGCUUAUCAUUUCAAAGUUUUUAGAACCAAGCUUUAACCUGUUUAAUAAGGUCAUCUGCAUUCUCUGGGUUGCAUCUGAGUAAGUGAAUUACAAUAUCCAGACUGAGGUCCAUGAGGAAUGCCUCUUUGCGGAUUUUGUUCCUGCAUUCUUGGUCCAUAUGUAGAGGUCCCACGAAUAAGUGCCAUCAACUGGCUUCUAUUUGGCAGGUUGAAAGUCAUGAGUGAUCCUUGAUUUGGCAGGUUCCAGUCAUAUAGUGAUUUGUCCAUGCCAUUCAUAUUUGAAUGCGGUUGUGUCUGCUGUAUGACCUUUAUACAGUUAUCGGGCGAAGUAGGUUUAUCAUUGUCUGGCGAAUUAGAUUUGGAGUCUAUGAGAUUGACUGUGGUGAUAUCGUGGAUGCUUGACCUUCUCUUAUCCUUCCCUCCAGAAAGCUGUCUUAUGAAAUAUUUCUGAGCAUGACUAGCAACCUGAGUUGGUGUUCUAGAGGUCACAAAGUUGCGAGAGAUAUUUCUCCAGUCUCCUUUACCAUACUUUUUAAGCCCCAGCAGAAAUUGCCUGAGGUUUUGUAAUCAAUACAAUGCAUCAAAUAUUUAUCUAACUUAUAAAGAAUAAAUUAAACAUUGCAAACAACAUAGCCACCAAAAGAAAACAUGAAUAGUAAACCAUUUCAACAUGCAAAAUUUUAGAAUUAUCUACUCAAGAUAUUAUAAGAAUACAGACCUGUUCACUCUACCUUUCUGAAAUUUUCAAUUGUUGUUAUCAUGAUUAAAAAAAUAAAAAUAUCUAAAACUGCUUGUAUAAUAUGCACAGAAUUAUUUAUAUAUCAAGUUGAUAACGGAUUCAUAGUCUAGACUAGUAGGUCUACUUGUAGACAGGCUGCCUUUUGACCUGGUUAAGCAACUACUUAGUUAAUAAGUAUGUUAAUUAUAAGAACAAAUAUUAACAUUUUAAUUAGGUUGAUAUUCUGAUACAACUAAACAUGUACCUGUGCUCUUCCUCUGUCCAUGGCACACCUUUUUUCCUUUCUUGAUCAGAAGGCUGAGUUGAUGAGCUCCUCUUUCCACCUGGAACAUAGAAAUGUUUCAGGCCAUCGAAGCCUUGAUGGUUCAUCCAAUCCAGUGCGAAAGAAUCAGUGGCGUACCCGGGUACUGGUAUCAACCCUGCCUCUAUAUCACUAACAUCUUCUUCCAAUUUUCUGUACUGUUUGAUCACAUCGUUCACGGUCUUCCCCGGGAUCAUGGCUGCCACAUUGUACCAUCGAUCUGGAGUAUCCUUGUCAAAUAAAGCAAGAGCAUUCUCAAACUUUUUGUUCUCUUCUGGACUCCAUUUUGUUUCCCUUCUUUCCUCGAAUAACCAGUUUGAGUCUCCAAGAUAUGAUGCUCGUGAGAGAAUUUCUAAUCCCUGAUUCAUUGUAAUUAAGUGAUCAGGGUAUAGUUGUUGAACAUAGGUAGACAUAGGUAGAAGCCCAAAGAAUUACCAGUUUUAGUUCACUUUCUCUCUUCUCUCAAUUGUAGUAGAGGUUUCUAUGAGCAGACAGACAUUAAACCAAGUGGGUAUUUAAAGGGGAAUCUGAAUACUUAUUGACAUAAGCAUGAGAUGAGGAAUCUAAAAAAGACCCAACUUUCCCAAACUAGGAAAUGCCAAAAAACUACAGAAAAAACAGAUCUUGGUUGUGAAUAAUAGAGAUUAGAGCUUUGAAUCAGAUCUCAAAGCCAAAAAAAUCAAGACCAGCAAACCCCAGUUUUAGUUUUCAAAAGUAUUAAGAAAAGACUUGAGCUCACUUAGUUAGACUCAGAGAACCAGUGAAACUAAUGCUAUUAGUAGAUUAAAUGAGUGAAACAUAUGACGGAAAGCUGUACAAGAUACAGACUCACUUGGGAAAAAAGCAGUGAGCAGAGAAAGUCUCAUGAGUUGGAGGAGCAGUAAAUGUAGAUAACUUGAAAGAAAGCAAGGAACAAGUAAAAUCCAAACUUGUCAGCAAAUUGUACUUGUUUGUAAGAGGGAAAGAUUUACAGAAACACAAACAUUAGAAGUAGGAGAUAUUUGGGAGAUCAUAUGUGUUGAGAUGUGAUUGGCUGGGAUGGUGUUAUGGGAACUGGUGCUAAGGAAAAGUUUUAUAAUCAUUUAUAGAGAGAGAGAGAGAGCUGCCCAAUCAAAAGACAAAAGGACAAUCAGUCAUUGCACAUGACCAUUUUGGUAAUUUUAAAUAAAAGAAGAGGAAGCUUGGGAAUGGUGGUGUUGAUAAUUUAGCUGUGAGCUCCUGGCAUUGCCAAUUAUUAUGCUUAUUUUUCCAUUGUUUUGGUCUAUUCUACUUGGUGCAAAAACAUGUGCUUGUUAUAUACUACUAUGUCUUAUAAUCAAGGUUGGUGGUCUUCUUCACAUUCCAUGAUUCUAUAUAUGUGUGUGAGAGAAGUGAAGUUCCAUAAAUGAAAAUACAGCUGAAUAAUUAAUACUUAGACCAUUCAACACUUAUAUAGGUUCUUUCAACAGUUGUCAACCUUUUUUAGUACCCGUGCUACCCAUCUAUAUCUAUUUCACUUGAUAACCGAAUCAAAUGGGUAUUUAUUAGUCAAAUAAAUUAAAGUCUAUCAAGUGUGUAUGGAUGUGUUGUUUGGGAAGUAGUAAUCUCUAAAUGAGAAACUAUCCAUUUGAAAUUUCUAGCACACAACUGGAUCUGUGACUAGUGGCUGAUCCCUCCUAUUAGUCAGUGUAAGAAGGCAAAACUUUUGCAGUAUAAUUUUAUUUAGGAACAGUGGAUGCCCUAAGUGUGUGUUUUGGUGUUGAGAAGAUGCCUCAGUAUUAGAUAUAAGACAACAUUGAUCAUUUGGUUGCUGCAUACCUAUGUUAUUGUUGCAUUAUGGCUGAUCAUAUGAAAGUGACUUAUUUAUUAUAAAAUUUGAGAUUGAAGAUUUUGUUAACAUAAUAAAUUGUGAUAUUUAGCUCUUGUUUCUAUGGAGGAUCAAUUUGGUUUGCACAUUACAUCCCCCUAAGCAGAUUCGGACUUUAUUUUUCUCAAGUAUUAAAAAGUUUAAGGUAUGUUAAAGUAGUCAUUAACAUAACACUAGGUUAUAGUCCUUUUGGAUUAGGUGGAGAAUACAAGUAAGAAUAUUAUUCAAUCAUUCAGAUGUUAUGCAGGAGUUCAAUGUCCGAAAUUGUACUCGAUGAGCAUAUAUAUAUAUAGAAGUUGUGUAGUACACAGUCGACUAUGGCGACGGUUUUUUGGGCUAUAGCGACAGUUUCACUCGUCGCCAUAACUAUUCUGGGCUACGGCAACGGAUGAACCGUCGUCAUAGCCCAAAAAACUUGUCGCCAUAGCCGGACUGUGUAAUACACAGCUGUGUAUAUACAUAUAGCCCAUAUAUAUAUACAGCUAUGCAUACUCCAAAAUGUACAUAGUUUAUGAUCGUAGAGUUAAAAAUUGUGCCCCUUCAUUGUUGUGCUUCAUAAUUGUCACUUUAACUAAGCCAAGUAGGCUACACAAAAUAUUUCCUCUGUUUCAGUUUUGAUUUGUCCCUGGCAGUUAUCUAAUUGCACAAUAAACAAUAAGGCCAUUUUACCUCUUUCCACUUCUUAUCAUAUUUAUUCAAGUAUUUUGAUUUAGGUUCUCACAUUUACACAAUAUUACUGCUAAAUAAAGAAAAAAAUUCUAAGUUUUUUUAUUUUGGUGGCUGUUCUAUUGUUUGUGACUUUUCAUCAAAUUGGAAUUUUGGUUUAAAUCAGAAUAGUUAUGUGUAUUCCAUCUGUUGCACAUGAUUAGUGUCUGCUUUGAAAAGAUAAAAGAAUUACUUAGUGGUUAGUAUAUUAGUAAUAUUCUUGAAGAAAAUGCUUUGCUAUUGUCUCCCUUUAUGGUAUGUUGGAAAUGAAAGUGAUUAUUUUAAUAAAGUGAGACUUGCCACAAGUGGUAAGACUGUUUUCCCUACCUUCCUUUCAACAAGUGCAUAUGAUUGAGUGCAUGAGCUCAUGUGGGGCACUUGUACAACUUGCAAUGCAUUGAAUUACUACCAAAUGCCAAUAAUGCCACUCAUCUACCCAAAGACUACAAGACCAGACCAGGCCAGGCCUAGAAGAAGACUUCAUUUCAAUUUGCAAGAAGCAUAAAGCUGCCCGAGUGAAAGAUACCAAACUCAUAUAAUUUACUACUAGAACUAGGCAUCCAUAAGGGUGUUGAAACUUGACUGUUGAUUGAUCAAAACAGACUGGCUAUGCUUCACCUUAUUCGGUAGAAUCUGAAAAGUGACUGGUAAUAAGAAAUCAAGGUAUUGAUAAAGGAAAUGACUCAGUUCUCCUCUGUGUGGCCCAAAUGUACUUAAUAGACUGAUAAAUAUCUUACAUAUUUAUAGUUUCUCUUGAAAGUGGGAUCCUUCCCUAUGGCUAUAGUUUGGUAUGUAUGAAAAGUUUCAGUUUGUUGAUUGAUGAGAAACUAGAGCUCCUGAAAACUUGCAAUUAUCUGUAUUGUAUGCUCUUUUUCUGUAAUUUGCAGUGUGUUACUAGUAGAUGUGAACAUUAUAUUUACUCCCUCUUUAUUUACUAAUCAGUAUCAUUAACCUUGAAUUUUCUUCAAGCCAAAUAGAAAUAGGAGUACCAAACCAAGUAAAUUCAUCCCCUGUUCAUGUGGAAACUUAGAAGGAAAGUUUACAAUAAGUUGGCUUAAUUAAGGUCUCAAGAUGCAUGAUUGAACUGAUGAGAAGUCAGCAUCAGAAGUCCCACCAAAAAUGUUUUGGUUUACUUUGGAUUUUCUCUUUUCUAUUUUUCUUUUAGCUUUUUAUAUAUGUAUAUAUAUGACCCGGUCCGAGUUGGAGACCAAGUCGAAAAAGGAAGGAAAUUCAAGUUUAAGAAGGAUUGAUAUUGUUUUGGGAGUAACUUUUGUUCCGUUUGGAAUUACGGGGCCCAUAAUAUAUCAAAAUGAUGCUAACGAUGAGCUCUACGAAACACAUAGCCUUUGGCCAUGAUGUAUACCGUUUGAAGCCCAAAAGGGGCUUGGAAAGAGGUGUUUUGGGCUUCCAAAGUUUUUCCCAAUUUUAUGUUUAUAGUUUAGUAUAUUUAUGUUUUAGGGAAAACUCUCAUUAUUAAUAUUAUUCUAGUUUAUGAAAUACUUGGCUAUUUAGUCAAUUUAUCCCACACUUUGUGAAUUCUUGUGAUUACAAAGUUCAUAGAUUCAAUUUCUAUGAUUGUUUCUAUUCUCGUUACUGUCUUUCGCCGUGUCAAUAUAUAUGGGUUUGUUUUGUUUUUAACCAUCUCCAUUCAUUUACAUCCUUUUAUUUUAUAUUAUUUACUUUAUUCUUAUUUUUAUUUUGGUUUAUCCUUUUAGUUUUCUUCUUGACUUUUUACUUACAAAUGGGAUUCUUUUUCAGCCCAUCCAAACUGCUUGGGAUAAAAAGCAUUGUUGAGUUGAGACUAAAAGUGAGAAUCACCAGUGGAUUAUUUUUUUAUAUAUAUAAAAAUAGAUAAGCUUGAUUAAGGGUGGGAUAGGCACAAGCGACCUUAAAGGUUAUCCUGAAUGCCCUUGACAAUUCUCUCGCCCAAUUGAAGAAAUGGCUUAUAGAUCCUUUUGCAACCGCAAUAUGAAAGUAGUUUGUAUUUGAAACAGGGAACAGAGACGAAAAGAGAAGAUUGCCUUGCAUAAAAUCAAACACCACUUUUUCUUUUAAGCUGUCAAAAUGGCUCAAAUUUAGCAUAAUGCUUAACUUUGCAACAUGUUUAUUCCCUUUUAAAUUCUUAUAAAAAGAAAAUUACAAAGUUACAAAUCAUGUUUCUUAGGUGUAGUCCUACUGACAAAAUUAUUCAAAUGUGCUUGAGCAAAUUUUUUUGCUCAAGAACCUCGGCACUCAUAUUUUUCUUGAUUAAAUCUAUUUUAACCUUUUUCUUCUUUCAUGUAGUCAAUUUCCUUGAACUCUUCACAUCAUACUGUGAUAAUUUACUUGUAUAUUGAGAUAUUGAUUCUUUGACCUGUAUUAACAUUUUGGAAGAUCUUUUGGAGGUGGCAACACUGACUCGUUAAGACCCUUUCCAUUGUCCACCAGGAAUGCCAUUUUUAGUCCCCAUGUUGUAUGUACUUCCAAGUGGCAAUGCAUGAACCAAACUCCUGCAAGUACAUGAUAAUAGUUCAAAUAACUUUUCCUAGAAAAACAAAUAUUAUCAGGAAACUGAAUUUGUUAAACAUGUGUGAAUUUUACCUGGAUUAUCUGCUCGAAAUCUAAUAGCUGUCCAUCCACCAGAUGGUACCCCAAUUGUGUUCCUCUCAACAGGGUCAACAAGAUUGAAUUUUUUGGGAUCUUUCUUCG
rnacentral:lncRNA from 1 species